UACGAAGGGGGCUAGCGUUGUUCGGAAUUACUGGGCGUAAAGCGCACGUAGGCGGACUCUUAAGUCAGGGGUGAAAUCCCGGGGCUCAACCACGGAACUGCCUUUGAUACUGUGAGUCUGGAGACCAGCAGAGGCGAGUGGAAUUCCUAGUGUAGAGGUGAAAUUCGUAGAUAUUAGCAGGAACACCAGUGGCGAAGGCUACUCGCUGGGCUGGUACUGACGCUGAGGCGCGAAAGCGUGGGGAGCAAACAGG
rnacentral:rRNA from 1 species